rnacentral:rRNA from 1 species
CGACCGGCGCACGGUGCGUAACGCGUAUGCAACCUACCUUUAACAGGGGAGUAACACUGAGAAAUUGGUACUAAUACCCAUAAUAUCAUAGAAGGCAUCUUUUAUGGUUGAAAUUCCGAUGGUUAGAGAUGGGCAUGCGUUGUAUUAGCUAGUUGGUGGGGUAACGGCUCACCAAGGCGACGAUACAUAGGGGGACUGAGAGGUUAACCCCCACACUGGUACUGAGACACGGACCAG